rnacentral:rRNA from 1 species
GGGUUGUGAGGUUAAGCGACUAAGCGUACACGGUGGAUGCCCUGGCAGUCAGAGGCGAUGAAGGACGUGCUAAUCUGCGAUAAGCGUCGGUAAGGUGAUAUGAACCGUUAUAACCGGCGAUUUCCGAAUGGGGAAACCCAGUGUGUUUCGACACACUAUCAUUAACUGAAUCCAUAGGUUAAUGAGGCGAACCGGGGGAACUGAAACAUCUAAGUACCCCGAGGAAAAGAAAUCAACCGAGAUUCCCCCAGUAGCGGCGAGCGAACGGGGAGCAGCCCAGAGCCUGAAUCAGUAUGUGUGUUAGUGGAAGCGUCUGGAAAGGCGCGCGAUACAGGGUGACAGCCCCGUACACAAAAAUGCACAUGCUGUGAGCUCGAUGAGUAGGGCGGGACACGUGGUAUCCUGUCUGAAUAUGGGGGGACCAUCCUCCAAGGCUAAAUACUCCUGACUGACCGAUAGUGAACCAGUACCGUGAGGGAAAGGCGAAAAGAACCCCGGCGAGGGGAGUGAA